UCGUAACAAGGUUUCCGUAGGUGAACCUGCGGAAGGAUCAUUAAUGAAUUUUAGGACUCUCUUUUUAGAGGUCCGACCCUUUCAUUUCCAUACACUGUGCACACACUUCUUUUCACACAUUUUAACACUAUAGUAUAAGAAUGUAACAGUCUCUUUAUUGAGCAUAAAUAAAAAUAAAACUUUCAGCAACGGAUCUCUUGGCUCUCGCAUCGAUGAAGAACGCAGCGAAUUGCGAUAAGUAAUGUGAAUUGCAGAAUUCAGUGAAUCAUCGAAUCUUUGAACGCACCUUGCACUCUUUGGUAUUCCGAAGAGUAUGUCUGUUUGAGUGUCAUGAAACUCUCAACCCCCCUAUUUUGUAAUGAGAUGGGCGUGGGCUUGGAUUAUGACUGCUGUCGGCGUAAUUGCCGGCUCAGUUGAAAUACACGAGCAACCCAUUUGAAAUAAACGGCUUGACUCGGCGUAAUAAUUAUUUCGCUGAGGACGUUUUCUUCAAAAGUUAGAGGUGCUUCUAAUGCGCUAUUACAGCACUUUAAAUUUUAGACCUCAAAUCAGUCAGGACUACCCGCUGAACUUAAGCAUAUC
rnacentral:misc_RNA from 1 species